rnacentral:ncRNA from 1 species
UUAGCAAGAUUACACAUGCAAGUAUCCGCACUCCAGUGAGAAUGCCCUUACAAUCGUAAACGAUCAAAAGGAGCAGGUAUCAAGCACACCAAAUGGUAGCUCACAACGCCUAGCCUAGCCACACCCCCACGGGAUACAGCAGUGACAAAAAUUAAGCCAUGAACGAAAGUUCGACUAAGCUAUGCCAAGUCUCAGGGUUGGUAAAUUUCGUGCCAGCCACCGCGGUCACACGAUUAACCCAAGUUAAUAGGCCAACGGCGUAAAACGUGUUGAGGGAACAAACCUACAACCCAAUAAAGUUAAAUACAGGCUAUGCCGUAGAAAGCUUUAGCCAAAAUUAAAAUAAACUACGAAGGUGACUUUAAACACCCGCCCACACGAUAGCUAAGACACAAACUGGGAUUAGAUACCCCACUAUGCUUAGCCCUAAACCCAAAUAGCUAAACAUAACAAUGCUAUUCGCCAGAGUACUACUAGCAACAGCUUAAAACUCAAAGGACUUGGCGGUGCUUUAUAUCCAUCUAGAGGAGCCUGUUCUAUAAUCGAUAAACCCCGAUAAACCUCACCAGCCCUUGCUAAUUCAGCCUAUAUACCGCCAUCUUCAGCAAACCCUAAAAAGGAAACAUAGUAAGCAAAACUAUAAAAAAUAUAAAAACGUUAGGUCAAGGUGUAGCCAAUGAGCUGGAAAGAAAUGGGCUACAUUUUCUAACAUAGAAUAGUAUAACGAAAAUUUUCGUGAAACCCGAAAAUAGAAGGAGGAUUUAGCAGUAAAUUGAGAAUAGAGAGCUCAAUUGAAUUAGGCCAUGAAGCACGCACACACCGCCCGUCACCCUCCUCAAGUACUAAAAAUGCACAAGGCAACCAUAUCCACAAAUGCAUAAACAUAUUAGAGGAGACAAGUCGUAACAAGGUAAGCGUACUGGAAAGUGCGCUUGGACAAACCAAAGUGUAGCUUAUUUAAAGCACCUGGCUUACACCCAGAAGAUUCCACAUAACAAUGGCCACUUUGAACUAAUACUAGCCCGCACCAUGCACAACCAAACUAAUAAUAUAAAAUAAAACAAAACAUUUACCCUAAUAAAAGUAUAGGAGAUAGAAAUUUUAACCGGCGCC